rnacentral:rRNA from 1 species
GAGUGAAGCGGCAACAGCUCAAAUUUGAAAUCUGGCUCCUUUGGGGUCCGAGUUGUAAUUUGCAGAGGGAGCUUUUGGCGUCGGUCGUGGUCUAAGUUCCUUGGAACAGGACGUCACAGAGGGUGAGAAUCCCGUACGUGGCCGCCGGCCUUCGCCUUGUAAAGCCCCUUCGACGAGUCGAGUUGUUUGGGAAUGCAGCUCUAAAUGGGAGGUAAAUUUCUUCUAAAGCUAAAUACCCGCCAGAGACCGAUAGCGCACAAGUAGAGUGAUCGAAAGAUGAAAAGCACUUUGGAAAGAGAGUGAAAAAGCACGUGAAAUUGUUGAAAGGGAAGCGCUUGCGGCCAGACGUGCCCGCGGUUGAUCAUCCAGGCUCCAGCCUGGUGCACUCCUCCGCGGGCAGGCCAGCAUCAGUUCGGGCGGUCGGAUAAAGGCCUCUAUCACGUACCACCCCUCGGGGUGGCCUUAUAGGGGAGGCGCAACACGGCCAGCCCGGACUGAGGUUCCGCGCAUCUGCUAGGAUGCUGGCGUAAUGGCAGCAAGCGGCCCGUCUUGAAACACGGACCAAGGAGUCUAACAUCUAUGCGAGUGUUUGGGUGUCAAGCCCGAGCGCGCAAUGAAAGUGAACGGAGGUGGGAACCCUUACCGGUGCACCAUCGACCGAUCCUGAUGUCUUCGGAUGGAUUUGAGUAAGAGCAUAGCUGUUGGGACCCGAAAGAUGGUGAACUAUGCCUGAAUAGGGUGAAGCCAGAGGAAACUCUGGUGGAGGCUCGCAGCGGUUCUGACGUGCAAAUCGAUCGUCA